rnacentral:rRNA from 1 species
UACGAGGGAUGCAAGCGUUAUCCGGAAUUAUUGGGCGUAAAGCGUCCGUAGGUGGUUUUUCAAGUCUGUUGUCAAAGAGUGGAGCUUAACUCCAUACAGGCAAUGGAAACUGAGAGACUAGAGCUUGAUAGGGGUUGCGGGAAUUCCCAGUGUAGCGGUGAAAUGCGUAGAUAUUGGGAAGAACACCAGCGGCGAAAGCGCGCAACUGGAUCGAGACUGACACUGAUGGACGAAAGCUAGGGGAGCGAAAGGG